rnacentral:tRNA from 1 species
GCCCCUGUAGUCCAAUUGGAAAGAGACGCUAGAAUAAGGAUCUAGAGGUUACUGGUUCGAGUCCAGUCAGGGGUA